rnacentral:rRNA from 1 species
GUUAUAGGGUCAAGCGAACAAGUGCAUGUGGUGGAUGCCUUGGCGAUCACAGGCGAUGAAGGACGCGGUAGCCUGCGAAAAAGCUACGGGGAGCUGGCAAACAAGCUUUGAUCCGUAGAUGUCCGAAUGGGGAAACCCACUCCUUUUGGAGUAUCCAUGGCUGAAUACAUAGGCCAUGCGAAGCGAACGCGGUGAACUGAAACAUCUAAGUAACCGCAGGAAAAGAAAUCAACCGAGAUUCCCAAAGUAGUGGCGAGCGAAAUGGGAUGAGCCUUGCACUCUUUAUUUGUAUUGUUAGCCGAACGCUCUGGAAAGUGCGGCCAUAAGCAGGUGAUAGCCCUGUAGGCGAAAACAGUAUGAAAGAACUAGGUGUGCGACAAGUAGGGCGGGACACGUGAA